rnacentral:lncRNA from 1 species
UGAUUGUUGGAUCAUUAAAUAUCUAUCUAAAUAAAUCAAAUGGUUUGUGGGAAAACCUUGCACGAAUCUAUGGUGGUUGGAAAUUUCCUCUGGUUUAUAAAGUAAAAAUAGAAAUUCCAAGAGUUAGACAAGGAUCGAAAUCGGUUACAGAACAUUUUAUGAAACUAUGGAAUGAAUUAGGAAAUCUGAUUCCAUCGGCUGUUGGCAAUUGUGGUGAUAUGACCGAGAACAUUUUUGGUUGAGAAAAUUGAU